UAUAAUAUUUAUAUAUUCUGAUAAAAAAAUUAAUACAAAUAUUCCUCUAUAAUAUUCAAUAUUAAAUCCAGAAACUAACUCAGAUUCUCCCUGAAUUAAAUCAAAAGGUGUACGAUUUAAUUCAAUUAAUAUUCUUGUUAAAAAAUAUUAAAUAUAAAGGAUAAACUAAUACAACAAAUUCAAUCAAAUACAUUGAUAAUUUAUAAACUCUAAAAAAGAAAAAUCUUUCAAUUAAAAUUAUUAAUAUAAAACUAAAAAAAGAAGUUAAUCUAAAAUGAAAUUAUU